UACGUAGGGGGCAAGCGUUGUCCGGAUUUAUUGGGCGUAAAGAGCGUGUAGGCGGCCAGACAGGUCAGCUGUGAAAACUCGAGGCUCAACCUCGAGACGUCGGUUGAAACCGUCUGGCUAGAGUCCGGAAGAGGAGAGUGGAAUUCCCCGGUGUAGCGGUGAAAUGCGUAGAUAUCGGGAGGAACACCUGUGGCGAAAGCGGCUCACUGGACCACAACGUGACGCUGAGGCGCGAAAGCUAGGGGA
rnacentral:rRNA from 1 species